rnacentral:rRNA from 1 species
CGGGGUGCAACAGGCGCGAAAACUUCGCAAUGGGGGAAACCCCGACGAGGGAAAGCCAAGUGCCAGCACAAUGUGCUGGCUGUUUUCCUGUCUAAAAAACAGGGAGAGUAAGGGCUGGGUAAGACGGGUGCCAGCCGCCGCGGUAAUACCUGCAGCCCAAGUGGUGCUCGUUAUUAUUGGGUCUAAAACGUCCGUAGUCGGCUGAGUAGAUGCCCGGGUAAAUCGCAGCGCUCAACGUUGCGAAUUCCGGGUAGACCGCUCGGCUAGGGAGUGGGAGAAGUGCGAGGUACUCUGAGGGUAGGGGUAAAAUCCUGUAAUCCUUGGGGGACCACCAGUGGCGAAGGCGUCGCACUAGAACACGUCCGACGAUCAGGGACGAAGCCCUGGGGCGCAAACGGGAUUAGAUACCCCGGUAGUCCAGGGUGUAAACGCUGCCGGCUUGGUGUCGCGGAUCCUACGUGGGUACGCGGUGCCGGAGUGAAGAUGUUAAGCCGGCUACCUGGGGAGUACGGUCGCAAGACUGAAACUUAAAGGAAUUGGCGGGGGAGCA